rnacentral:rRNA from 1 species
UACGUAGGGUGCGAGCGUUGUCCGGAAUUAUUGGGCGUAAAGGGCUCGUAGGCGGUUUGUCACGUCGGGAGUGAAAACUCGGGGCUUAACCCCCGAGCCUGCUUCCGAUACGGGCUGACUAGAGGUAUGCAGGGGAGAACGGAAUUCCUGGUGUAGCGGUGAAAUGCGUAGAUAUCGGAAGGAACAUCAGUGGCGAAAGCGACUUCCUGGACCAGUACCGACGUUCAGGCACGAAAGCGUGGGGAGCAAACAGGA